rnacentral:rRNA from 1 species
UACGGAGGGUGCAAGCGUUGUCCGGAAUCACUGGGCGUAAAGGGCGCGUAGGCGGCUCGGUAAGUAGGGGGGUGAAAUCCUGCGGCUUAACCGCAGGGCUGCCUUCUAAACUGUCGAGCUCGAGCACGGUAGAGGCAGAUGGAAUUCCCGGUGUAGCGGUGGAAUGCGUAGAGAUCGGGAAGAACAUCAGUGGCGAAGGCGGUCUGCUGGGCCGUUGCUGACGCUGAGGAGCGAAAGCGUGGGGGAGCAAACAGG